GUAGGGAAUCUUGCGCAAUGGGCGAAAGCCUGACGCAGCCAUGCCGCGUGAAUGAUGAAGGUCUUAGGAUUGUAAAAUUCUUUCACCGGGGACGAUAAUGACGGUACCCGGAGAAGAAGCCCCGGCUAACUUCGUGCCAGCAGCCGCGGUAAUACGAAGGGGGCUAGCGUUGCUCGGAAUUACUGGGCGUAAAGGGAGCGUAGGCGGAUAGUUUAGUCAGAGGUGAAAGCCCAGGGCUCAACCUUGGAAUUGCCUUUGAUACUUGCUAUCUUGAGUAUGGAAGAGGUAUGUGGAACUCCGAGUGUAGAGGUGAAAUUCGUAGAUAUUCGGAAGAACACCAGUGGCGAAGGCGACAUACUGGUCCAUUACUGACGCUGAGGCUCGAAAGCGUGGGGAGCAAACAGGAUUAGAAACCCGUGUAGUCC
rnacentral:rRNA from 1 species